GAUGAAGAACGUAGCGAAAUGCGAUAAGUAAUGUGAAUUGCAGAAUUCAGUGAAUCAUCGAAUCUUUGAACGCACAUUGCGCCCCCUGGUAUUCCGGGGGGCAUGCCUGUUCGAGCGUCAUUACAACCCUCAAGCUCUGCUUGGUGUUGGGCCCCGCCGCCCCGGCGGGCCCUAAAAUCAGUGGCGGUGCCGUCCGGCUCCGAGCGUAGUAAAUCUUCUCGCUCUGGAGGUCCGGGUGUGUGCUCGCCAGCAACCCCCAAUUUUUUUCAGGUUGACCUCGGAUCAGGUAGGGAUACCCGCUGAACUUAAGCAUAUCAAUAAGCGGAGGA
rnacentral:misc_RNA from 1 species